CUGGCAAGGGCCUGCCAAGAUUCCUACAGGAAAGGAAAAAUCCACGGGCAGGAGGUGGGGACAGAGCCAGGGGAAGGAACCCAAACGGCACCUUGAAGGAAUUCUUUCAUGGGAAUUCUUAAAUGGCGUUUGUUUAGCGUGUCACAAUUUUCUUUGGGCUCUGGGUGAGAUGUCAGCAGAAGCCUGUGGAGACAUAGGGGCAGUGAGUGGAUGCCUGCAGCAGAUAAUGAGAGGACCAGCUUAUCAAAUAUCCUCGGAGCUUGUGAGUUCCUGGGCGCUUGAGUUUGUUUAUUUUUUCCCAGGAGAAAGGGAAAAAAUGACUCUAAAAUGGAAGGUUUGAAUUCUCGCUCUGGCCGGGUUGCGAGCUGCCUGCAGUUCCUGGGCAGAGCACAGGGACGUGCCUUGUGAGCGAAGGGGUGAUGUCUGGGUUAGCAUGAGCGUUCCUAAACUCAGGGGCCAUGGAAUGUUCUGAUGUCCUAGCACAAGUCCCAGGCCUGUACCAAGGGGAACGUCUACCUCAAAAUAUGACAGCAGAAGUAAUGCACCAACCAGGCGUGUGAGGGCUACAUGUCUGGAGAAGGUUAGCGCCGAUCUGCAUUCUGCCCUGUGGAUUCCUUUGGAUUCUCCGCAUUGGAAGAACAAAGUGUGGGAUUGGCUGCGGCCAACCUUGACAUGAUGGCCAAGAGACCGUGGAGGGAAGCAGUGAAACUGGCAUCCCAGAUCAAAAUGCCUGCCUCAUUUCGGCACUCACAGUCUCGAGAACUGGCCUGCUCGGCCACAGAAUGAGCCUCCCCAUUGUACGUCCGUGUCCCUUGGAGAGGCCUUGGCAAGACAUUCUGAGAACGCUCCAUCACAGACCUGACUCCACUGAAAGUGCCUCCAUGCUGGUGUCACGUUGUGCUCCGGAGCACAGCUCAUCCAAUGCCCGGCAGUUGGACCCUGCAGCUGCCUGGUUACUCCCGGCCGGCACUGUCCAUGUACCUCGCUCUUUGACCUGCGGCACUCCGGCCCUCCCACAUCUCAGAUGGAGCCAAAGAAGAUGUCUCGGUGCCACCAGCAGUGAAUCUGGCAAACGGAUUGUCCCAGGUCUGGGCAAGUAUCAUAUAUGGGCUAAAUAAUCAGCUGGC